CCGGCGCACGGGUGAGUAACACGUAUCCACCUGCCGACAACACUGGGAUAGCCUUUCGAAAGAAAGAUUAAUACCGGAUGGCUCCGCAUGGGUAAAGAAUUUCGGUUGUCGAUGGGGAUGCGUUCCAUUAGGCAGUUGGCGGGGUAACGGCCCACCAAACCUACGAUGGAUAGGGGUUCUGAGAGGAAGGUCCCCCACAUUGGAACUGAGACACGGUCCAACCUCUACGGGAGGCAGCAGUGAGGAAUAUUGGUCAAUGGACGAGAGUCUGAACCAGCCAAGUAGCGUGAAGGAUGACUGCCUAUGGGUUGUAAACUUCUUUUAUACGGGAAUAAGUGAGCCACGUGUGGCUUUUUGUAUGUACCGUAUGAAUAAGGAUCGGCUAACUCCGUGCCAGCAGCCGCGGUAAUACGGAGGAUCCGAGCGUUAUCCGGAUUUAUUGGGUUUAAAGGGAGCGUAGGCGGGUUGUUAAGUCAGUUGUGAAAGUUUGCGGCUCAACCGUAAAAUUGCAGUUGAUACUGGCGACCUUGAGUGCAACAGAGGUAGGCGGAAUUCGUGGUGUAGCGGUGAAAUGCUUAGAUAUCACGAAGAACUCCGAUUGCGAAGGCAGCUUACUGGAUUGUAACUGACGCUGAUG
rnacentral:rRNA from 1 species